GGCGAGUGAAGCGGCAAGAGCUCAAAUUUGAAAUCUGGCCCCUCCGGGGUCCGAGUUGUAAUUUGCAGAGGAUGCUUCGGGAGCGGUCCCCGUCUAAGUGCCCUGGAACGGGCCGUCAUAGAGGGUGAGAAUCCCGUCUGGGAUGGGCGGCCGCGCCCGUGUGAAGCGCCUUCGACGAGUCGAGUUGUUUGGGAAUGCAGCUCUAAGUGGGUGGUAAAUUUCAUCUAAAGCUAAAUACUGGCCGGAGACCGAUAGCGCACAAGUAGAGUGAUCGAAAGAUGAAAAGCACUUUGAAAAGAGAGUUAAACAGCACGUGAAAUUGUUGAAAGGGAAGCGUUGUCCACCAGACUCGCCCGGGGGGGUUCAGCCGGCACUCGUGCCGGUGUACUCUCCUCCGGGCGGGCCAGCAUCGGUUUGGGCGGCUGGUGAAAGGCCCCGGGAAUGUAACACCCUCCGGGGUGCCUUAUAGCCCGGGGUGCCAUGCGGCCAGCCUGGACCGAGGCCCGCGCUUCGGCGAGGAUGCUGGCGUAAUGGUGGUCAACGGCCCGUCUUG
rnacentral:rRNA from 1 species